ensembl:lncRNA
UUGCGUGUGUUCUGAGCUCUUGAAGGGUUAGCGCCAUGCAGUUACAGCAGCACCUGUUUUGCGGGAUGCACACGUCUCACGGUGAAACCUCAGAUUGUUAGUUCUUUUCCCAGUAUGAGUGGAAGCGCCUGUGUGUUAGUGUGCGUUUGGUGUGUCAUAGCUGCCACCCCCGCACAUCUUCAAGUCUCAGCCACAGAGAGGGAGAGUGGAGGGGAGUGAAAGGCCGCUUGGAUGCGUGGGAGAUCCCCUUAACUUUGUAUUAGAUCAGAUGUAGACACGCUGCGCUUCCAGUCUGUGUUGCGGCUGCGGAGGGGAGAGAGGAUGGCGCACACGGCCAGAGCGCACGUUACAUGGAUGUCCGCAGUGAUCAUGGUAGCUGUAACAGCCUCUUGUGUUACCUGGCUCAUCGUGUCCAAGGAGACUAUCCCCAGAGUAAAAAUCAUCAACGGUACAUCAAUGGCAAAUAUGUUCAGAGUUCCACCUUCCACAGCACAGCAUUGUCUUUUAAAAGUGCACAACUCUACAAAUGGCAAUCAUCUGGCCUGGGAGGAGGAGGGGUGUGUCGAGAAUUUCUCCCUGAAUGACGACAAAACCUCAAUAACAGUGAAGGAGCCGGGUGUUUAUCUGGUCUACGUCCAGCUGACAUACAGUCUCAAAAAGGAUGGAAACAGCUCUAACAUACACCUCAAUUUGACCGUGGAGUUCACUUAUACCGAGGACAAGGUAGAAUUCAAUGGUGCCUUUGACAACCGGCAGCUCACAGAGAAGGAGCAAGACGCCCAUCUCACAGCCUUCUUCCUGCUCAAAAUGACAGCUGGGAACAAACUCUCCAUAAUCGCAUAUCCGAAGAACAGGAUAAAGUAUGACGAUGUUCGGCCAUUCUCCAGUUACAUCACCAUCGUUCGGUAUGCUGACUUAUCAGGAUGAGAAGGAAAGAAACUAUCAGCUUCAGUUCAGACAUAUGCUCUAUGUUUAUGUCAGCUCUUUUCCUUCUUGCUAUUUAAGUCACAAAACUGAAGUUCUUCUGUGAUGAUGUCCAAACGAUGACCAGUGGCAUCAGAGGCUUUCAUGAAGUUAAAUCGAGAAAUGCUUAAACCACAAGAAGAAAUAUGACAACUCAACAAAUUCGGGUUGUUUGUGUAGGGAGGUGCAAUAUUUACCUCAGUAAUUUUUUCUUUGUUUUGUUUUUUUUCCCCUCCCCCUUUGUUGCAUAAUGUUCCCGACUCAUGAUUUUCUGAGAAGCAUGACACAUUUUCCGCCCAUUAGAGACAAAAGUGAUUUUCACUUUGUUUCAGGUUCAUUAUGACUCAGUUGAGAAAGAGCAUCAUGCCUGUUUCCUCAUUUCUCGGUUUGACGAAAUGAGCACACACACGUUAAUGUCACUUCCACUAGCUGCUGCAAUUGACGCUUCAUUACAUUUAUGAAACGGGGGAUCUUUUUUUUUUUUGGGAUGGUGUUUCUGUGAAAGCUGUUUGUCCCAUUAUUCUGAAAACAUGUACAACAACAAGCUGAAUGUGAUGUUUUAAAGCAUCCUCUUAGAGGACGAUCAUGUCAUUUUAAAACUGUAAAUGUGUACCAGCAAUUUGGAGAAAUUCUCAGUACCAUAAGGAUAUAGUUUAGCAAUAAGUGACGAGCACCAUUACGUAUUCCUCUUUGUGUUUGUUUGGGCUUUUUGUUGUUUUGUUUUGGGGUUUUUUUUCUUCCUUGCAGAGUAUCAUCCAUUAAUACCCUCAUUAUUAUAUAAUCUAAACCAAAAAUCAAGCUAUGCGAUUUCAUUAAAGCUUUUAUCAUUAUGUUUAUUUCUAUGGUUUAGGGAAAAUGUAGAUGUAUCCAUUUUGCUUCAACACUUAAUAUAAAUGUAGUAUAUUUAACACAGAGUUGAAAUGUCAGUGAUGCUCUUCAGGUAGUACCACUAAGGUUUCUUUUUUCCUGAUAAUCCUUAUUUUUGAUAAAGAUUUAUAAAUAUGAAAGAAAGUGAGGUAUGUCAUACCAUAACACACUAAUUUAACAGGCAUAAAGCUGAAAUCUGUGGCAUUGUGAUCAUCAAUAUUAAGAUAUUUUGGCACCUCAAGUAAUAUAUUUUCUCCAGGUCUUUUGUAAUAGUCUCAGGGUUGACUGUAAUGUUCUUGAUUUCCUAAUCAAACUAAUGAUUUAACUUAAAGUCAUCUUUACAAGAAGAGUUGCAUGACACACAAUACACACAAUUGCAUGACACACAAUAUAUCACAACCAUUUUCCUUGUUUUGAAUUUGUUAUGAGUCAGCUGAAAGAAAAAAGAAAAAAAAAAAGCAUUCCACUUCUGUAAGGUCAGAUAAGUUUAGGGCUGCUGAUCAGAAUUCUAAUGACAUUUUUUAAAUCAUUAUUUUGUGUUUUUGUUUGUUUUUUGUUGCAAAGUGGCCUUGCUUGUGAAGUGAGCAAGGCCAUAUAUAAAUUAAAUAUGAUUAUUAUUGUUAUUAUUAUUAUUAUUAUUAUUAUUAUUAUUAUUAUUAUUAUUAAAUCCUCAGUAUUGACAUUUGAGCAACUACUCUUCAGACAUAUUUGAUUGUAUAUGAUAAGUAUUUUUUCAUUGUUAGCCUGAACGAUACACUCAUGUUGAAAAAUUGUAGUGGACUACUGCCUUUGUUCUCAAAUUGCUCAGCAAUAUUGUAUUUAUCUACUGCAUUUUCGUAUAAAUUGUAAUUAUUUGUUAUUUAAAGCGAUAAAUUCAUUUCAUAAUUGCA